ensembl:rRNA 5S_rRNA 5S ribosomal RNA
AACUGUGUAACGAAUGCACCAAUCUCAUCUGAUCUUGGAAGCUAAGCAGGUUUGGGCCUGGCUAGUACUUAGAUGGGAGACUGCCUUGGAAUAUCAGAUGCUACAGGUU